UGGAAGCGUCUGGAAAGGCGCGCGAUACAGGGUGACAGCCCCGUACACAAAAAUGCACAUAUUGUGAGCUCGAUGAGUAGGGCGGGACACGUGGUAUCCUGUCUGAAUAUGGGGGGACCAUCCUCCAAGGCUAAAUACUCCUGACUGACCGAUAGUGAACCAGUACCGUGAGGGAAAGGCGAAAAGAACCCCGGCGAGGGGAGUGAAAAAGAACCUGAAACCGUGUACGUACAAGCAGUGGGAGCCUCUUUAUGGGGUGACUGCGUACCUUUUGUAUAAUGGGUCAGCGACUUAUAUUCUGUAGCAAGGUUAACCGAAUAGGGGAGCCGAAGGGAAACCGAGUCUUAACUGGGCGUUAAGUUGCAGGGUAUAGACCCGAAACCCGGUGAUCUAGCCAUGGGCAGGUUGAAGGUUGGGUAACACUAACUGGAGGACCGAACCGACUAAUGUUGAAAAAUUAGCGGAUGACUUGUGGCUGGGGGUGAAAGGCCAAUCAAACCGGGAGAUAGCUGGUUCUCCCCGAAAGCUAUUUAGGUAGCGCCUCGUGAAUUCAUCUCCGGGGGUAGAGCACUGUUUCGGCAAGGGGGUCAUCCCGACUUACCAACCCGAUGCAAACUGCGAAUACCGGAGAAUGUUAUCACGGGAGACACACGGCGGGUGCUAACGUCCGUCGUGAAGAGGGAAACAACCCAGACCGCCAGCUAAGGUCCCAAAGUCAUGGUUAAGUGGGAAACGAUGUGGGAAGGCCCAGACAGCCAGGAUGUUGGCUUAGAAGCAGCCAUCAUUUAAAGAAAGCGUAAUAGCUCACUGGUCGAGUCGGCCUGCGCGGAAGAUGUAACGGGGCUAAACCAUGCACCGAAGCUGCGGCAGCGACACUAUGUGUUGUUGGGUAGGGGAGCGUUCUGUAAGCCUGUGAAGGUGGCCUGUGAGGGUUGCUGGAGGUAUCAGAAGUGCGAAUGCUGACAUAAGUAACGAUAAAGCGGGUGAAAAGCCCGCUCGCCGGAAGACCAAGGGUUCCUGUCCAACGUUAAUCGGGGCAGGGUGAGUCGACCCCUAAGGCGAGGCCGAAAGGCGUAGUCGAUGGGAAACAGGUUAAUAUUCCUGUACUUGGUGUUACUGCGAAGGGGGGACGGAGAAGGCUAUGUUGGCCGGGCGACGGUUGUCCCGGUUUAAGCGUGUAGGCUGGUUUUCCAGGCAAAUCCGGAAAACCAAGGCUGAGGCGUGAUGACGAGGCACUACGGUGCUGAAGCGACAAAUGCCCUGCUUCCAGGAAAAGCCUCUAAGCAUCAGGUAACAUCAAAUCGUACCCCAAACCGACACAGGUGGUCAGGUAGAGAAUACCAAGGCGCUUGAGAGAACUCGGGUGAAGGAACUAGGCAAAAUGGUGCCGUAACUUCGGGAGAAGGCACGCUGAUAUGUAGGUGAAGCGACUUGCUCGUGGAGCUGAAAUCAGUCGAAGAUACCAGCUGGCUGCAACUGUUUAUUAAAAACACAGCACUGUGCAAACACGAAAGUGGACGUAUACGGUGUGACGCCUGCCCGGUGCCGGAAG
rnacentral:rRNA from 1 species